rnacentral:rRNA from 1 species
UACGUAGGGCGCGAGCGUUGUCCGGAAUUAUUGGGCGUAAAGAGCUCGUAGGCGGCCUGUUGCGUCCGCUGUGAAAUCCCAGGGCUCAACCCCGGGCCUGCAGUGGGUACGGGCAGACUAGAGUGCGGUAGGGGAGACUGGAAUUCCUGGUGUAGCGGUGAAAUGCGCAGAUAUCAGGAGGAACACCGGUGGCGAAGGCGGGUCUCUGGGCCGUAACUGACGCUGAGGAGCGAAAGCAUGGGGAGCGAACAGG